rnacentral:misc_RNA from 1 species
UAUGCAUAACGCCACAGAG